AUCAAUUAUAUAUGUUCGGGGAUCUUUUUUAUUACGUUGGCUUAUUUGAUGGAAUCAAGCUAUGUAUAUCUUUGCGCAUAUUGUCAAGAGUCCUGAUGGCCAAACUGCUUUUCCAUUUAUUGGUACUUGAGAGUGGAAGAAAUUGAUCUACUCGGUUAAACUGGACUCAUGCCAACUGUCAAUUACGAGGAUAAUUGUGCAUAACACAACUCUGAAGAUCAGAAAUUCUUGCUAUGGAUUCAACCCCGAGAAUGUUGCUUGAAUUCCUUUCCAAGGUUGUCUUCUGUCCUGUCUGCACUCAAGUAGAGCAAUGACUCAACUGAAAUGGGAGUGGAAACUUUAUCUUCAGAAAUUUCAAAGCAGGACAACUGGAGUCCAAGGUCAAAACGGAGCCUCGGAAAAAAUUUAGAUAACAGAUUGAAGAAAAUCUAGAUAUUGAUCUAGACUUUGAUUUCAUCAAGACAUGCAUACUGAAGAUCAAGUUGUCCUUCGAUGCUGAAAUCCACAACUUACUGGCUGUAUGGUAAAAACGUCAAAUGCUUAUAUAUGCUUGAAUGAACUUGGACAUAAUGAUUGGCUUAUCUAUUUCAUGGCGACUUAACUAUAAAAGAUAAAAUUAAUCACUGUUAUUCAUUUCAAUCUAUAAAGAUUUCCUCAACUGCAUACUUGUAACUAAAAUUAGUUUAAUCAAUAGUAAUCUGUAAAAUGAUAUGUAGGGAACUUCAAUAUGUCCGUUAAAAUCUAUUUGUAAUACUUAGCGGUUCACAAGAUUCUUCAAAUUUUUCCUCUUUUUAAUUCUUUCGAAUGAAAUGGACAACUAUCGGACACGAUUCGCUUCCUAUACACAACAGUCGAGAGUUAUGACAGAACCGCGUUUUCGAUUUUGAAUCUGUUGGUAUCAAUCCCUACGAAUUAUUGAUGCCCAUGUCAUACGAACUGUACAUGAAAUCUCUAGAUGGAACAUUCCUCGAUCAUUAGUUUACUUAACUGUACUGUAUUUUAGCAGUCAUAAUGCUAAAUUCGGGUCACAAAGUAUCCUCAAUUGAAUUCUAACAUUCUCCUUGUCAAAUUCGAAUUUACAUUUAGCUUACUCAUUCGGAUUAUACGUAUGUUUAAGGAUUGAAUAUUUAAUACUAAUUGCGUUCCACGGGACCGCCACUAUUCGAACCUUUUC